GUCAUUUAUGAUUCAUAGUAAAUUUUGUUUUCUACAAGUAUAUUUCAGGACUAUAAUAAAUAAGUUUAUAUAUAAAAUUAUAUUUGGUCAUUUAUGAAAUGCUAUAAUAAUUAAACACAUAUAUAAAUAGAUAAAUGUUACUGUACCUAAAAGUAGCCAGCAUAAAUUUCGAGAAAAAGACGGCCAUGUUAAUUCUGUACAGAAUAGCUCAGCCAUAAAUACGGCAUAGGCAAAAUAAAUAAAUAAAUAGUAGCUUUUAGAUAUAUUCAACUUCAAAAGCAGAUUUAGGUGGAGAGAAAACGGUAAAACAGUAAGUGGUAUCAUGCCAAAUGCCACUGUUAGAAAUUAACACUGUUUGUCCCAGCUCCACCAAGUCAGCUUCUUAACAGCAUUGUUCCCUCUGAGCAAUGUUCCGUCCAAGAAUUAGUCAUUAAAUGUCUCAUGCACUGGACAGCAAACUUGCUUUCAAUCUCUAUUCCCAAACACUUGUUUGAAAAAGGUUUAGCAUCAGCAAAAAGUAGAAGUGCAUGUCUAUAGUCCACUCAAAAUGCAGGCAGUCUAUAGCAAAUUAAGUGUUGAUGGAUAUAUACAUAUCACAGAAUGCCAGUUAUUUUAGUCCUUUUUUUUUAUUUUAAGUAUAAUAUAUUUGUUAAAUAUUUGGUAUUCAAAUGAAUAAAUAAAUAAAUAUGUUUGUGUGUGUGUGUGUGUGUGUAUGUAAUUACACAUACACACACAUUUUCCAGUGUUACGCUCCUCUUUGGUUUAAUUUCCUUUGCGCCAUAUGUUCUCAGUUGGCCAAUGGAGUACAGCAAUUUAGGGAAAAAAAUGCAGCGUUGGGGGUGUAUUCUGCCACUGCAUGCCUGGCCAUGAGUGAACAGUUGUAUUCACAGCAAAGUUUUCUGGAUGAAUAUGGCAUUAUAAGAUACGUGAUGUUGUCAUAAACAUUAGCAUGUGCUGUCAAUCAGUCCUAAACCAUGCCAUAAAAGAGCCCUUGUAAUAACUCACUACAGGCCACCAUUCCACAAUGUGAGGUUCACCUCCAAUAGGACAUUAAGUUACUGCAGAGCAACAGUAUUG